rnacentral:rRNA from 1 species
GACGAACGCUGGCGGCGUGCUUAACACAUGCAAGUCGAACGAAGAGCGAUGGAAGCUUGCUUCUCUCAAUCUUAGUGGCGAACGGGUGAGUAACGCGUAAUCAACCUGCCCUUCAGAGGGGGACAACAGUUGGAAACGACUGCUAAUACCGCAUACGAUCUAAUCUCGGCAUCGAGGAUAGAUGAAAGGUGGCCUCUACAUGUAAGCUCCCACUGAAGGAGGGGAUUGCGUCUGAUUAGCUAGUUGGAGGGGUAACGGCCCACCAAGGCGAUGAUCAGUAGACGGUCUGAGAGGAUGAACGGCCACAAUGGGACUGAGAAACGGCCCAGACUCCUACGGGAGGCAGCAGUGGGGAAUCUUCCGAAAUGGACGAAAGGCUGACGGAGCAACGCCGCGUGAGGGAUGACGGCCUUCGGGUUGGAAAGCUAUGUUAAUCGGGACGAAAGGCCUUCUUGCGAAUAGUGAGAAGGAUUGACGGUACCGGAAUAGAAAGCCACGGCUAACUACGUG